rnacentral:rRNA from 1 species
UACGUAGGGUGCGAGCGUUAAUCGGAAUUACUGGGCGUAAAGCGUGCGCAGGCGGUUCGCUAAGACCGAUGUGAAAUCCCCGGGCUUAACCUGGGAACUGCAUUGGUGACUGGCGGGCUAGAGUAUGUCAGAGGGGGGUAGAAUCCCACGUGUAGCAGUGAAAUGCGUAGAGAUGUGGAGGAAUACCGAUGGCGAAGGCAGCCCCCUGGGCCAAUACUGACGCUCAUGCACGAAAGCGUGGGGAGCAAACAGG